rnacentral:rRNA from 1 species
AUGAACACAAGGUUGCACCCGAAAACAUGGUCAAGAGAUAUCUUCGAUCCAUAUUUCCUUGAUGCAAGGAAGAGCACUAUUAAUGCUUCAGUUAUGUGGCAGAUUUGGAGUAGCUGCAAUGAAGAUACUCAUGUUGAGGAGAAGUACAAGCCACAAAAAUCAAUAUUAAUGCACAUAAACAUCUAA